rnacentral:tRNA from 1 species
GGUGGCUCAGUGGUAGAGCGCUCGCCUUGCAUGCAAGAGGCCCUGGGUUCGAUUCCUCAGCACCA